AAGGAAUAUUGGUCAAUGGACGCAAGUCUGAACCAGCCAUGCCGAGUGAAGGAUGAAGGUCCUCUGGAUUGUAAACUUCUUUUAUCUGGGACGAAAACGGGAUUUUUAUCUCAAUUGACGGUACCAGAGGAAUAAGCCCCGGCUAACUUCGUGCCAGCAGCCGCGGUAAUACGCAGGGGGCUAGCGUUGCUCGGAAUCACUGGGCGUAAAGGGUGCGUAGGCGGGUUUCUAAGUCAGAGGUGAAAGCCUGGAGCUCAACUCCAGAACUGCCUUUGAUACUGGAAUUCUUGAGUUCGGGAGAGGUGAGUGGAACUGCGAGUGUAGAGGUGAGAUUCGUAGAUAUUCGCAAGAACACCAGUGGCGAAGGCGGCUCACUGGCCCGAUACUGACGCUGAGGCACGAAAGCGUGGGG
rnacentral:rRNA from 1 species